UACGAAGGGAGCUAGCGUUGUUCGGAGUCACUGGGCGUAAAGCGCACGUAGGCGGAUUUGCCAGUCAGGGGUGAAAUCCCGGGGCUCAACCUCGGAACUGCCUUUGAUACAGCAAGUCUUGAGUUCGAGAGAGGUGGGUGGAAUUCCUAGUGUAGAGGUGAAAUUCGUAGAUAUUAGGAAGAACACCGGUGGCGAAGGCGGCCCACUGGCUCGACACUGACGCUGAGGUGCGAAAGCGUGGGGAGCAAACAGG
rnacentral:rRNA from 1 species